rnacentral:rRNA from 1 species
UACGGGGGGGGCAAGCGUUGUUCGGAAUUACUGGGCGUAAAGGGCUCGUAAGCGGCCAACUAAGUCAGACGUGAAAUCCCCAGGCUCAACCUGGGAACUGCGUCUGAUACUGGAUGGCUUGAAUCCGGGAGAGGGAUGCAGAAUUCCAGGUGUAGCGGUGAAAUGCGUAGAUAUCUGGAGGAAUACCGGUGGCGAAGGCGGCAUCCUGGACCGGCAUUGACGCUGAGGAGCGAAAGCCAGGGGAGCAAACGGG